AUGCACAGGUUGUGAACUCGAAGAGUAGGGCGGGACACGUGGUAUCCUGUCUGAAUAUGGGGGGACCAUCCUCCAAGGCUAAAUACUCCUGACUGACCGAUAGUGAACCAGUACCGUGAGGGAAAGGCGAAAAGAACCCCGGCGAGGGGAGUGAAAAAGAACCUGAAACCGUGUACGUACAAGCAGUGGGAGCACCUUCGGGUGUGACUGCGUACCUUUUGUAUAAUGGGUCAGCGACUUAUAUUCUGUAGCAAGGUUAACCGUAUAGGGGAGCCGCAGGGAAACCGAGUCUUAACUGGGCGUUAAGUUGCAGGGUAUAGACCCGAAACCCGGUGAUCUAGCCAUGGGCAGGUUGAAGGUUGGGUAACACUAACUGGAGGACCGAACCGACUAAUGUUGAAAAAUUAGCGGAUGACUUGUGGCUGGGGGUGAAAGGCCAAUCAAACCGGGAGAUAGCUGGUUCUCCCCGAAAGCU
rnacentral:rRNA from 1 species